AUAUCAGUAAGCAGAGGAAAAGAAACUAACAAGGAUUCCCCUAGUAACGGCGAGUGAAGAGGGAAGAGCUCAAAUUUUAAAUCUACCUUGUUAAUCCAAGGUCGAGUUGUAAUUUGAAGAUGCGUUUUCUCGGACUCGCUUCUGGUAGAAGUUCUCUUGGAACAGGGCAUCAUAGAGGGUGAUAAUCCCGUCUGUGACCGGUUGCAAGUUCGUUUACGAUACGCACUCUAAGAGUCGAGUUG
rnacentral:rRNA from 1 species